CGGCAACAGCUCAAAUUUGAAAUCUGGCCCCAGGCCCGAGUUGUAAUUUGCAGAGGAUGCUUUUGGCGCGGUGCCUUCCGAGUUCCCUGGAACGGGACGCCAUAGAGGGUGAGAGCCCCGUCU
rnacentral:rRNA from 1 species